GCUCCAGCUGCUGUUCCUGCCUGCAGGCUGUGAGCUCCAAUGGGUCCCAGAAGGCUUGGGAGAGAUUUUUUGAUUGGAGUGGAAGUCGGUGCUGGACUUGGAGGCCCAGGCUGUGUGAGGAAAUGAAUGACUUGGUUCCUUACCGGCACACUGAGCACAGCUCUCUGGCUGACCCUAUUGUGGCAUCAUCGCUCCACGUGGGAAAGACCUCGCUGCCCGUUCUGCUCUAUGAUUUCUGUCCUAAGGUCGCCUUUUCUGUUCUCGUGCCUUUCCCAGAUCCCGACUUCGUUACUCUAUUUCUCCCGCCACUCUACAACCCCUCACUGUUCACCUGUGUCCCCUCCCCACUACCCCUCCCCACUUCCGGAUCUGUACUUAGAGUUCCAGCGACUCUUCUCAUUGGCUGUGGAGCAGACGUCUGUAAGGAACUGGCCAAUCAAGAAGCCUUCUUCUGCUCCGCCCCCAGCACCACAGGUUGGGACACGGGUUCGAGCCCUGGUCUGGGAGGAUCCCACAUGCCGCGGAGCAACUGGGCCCGUGAGCCACAGCUACUGAGCCUGCGCGUCUGGAGCCUGUGCUCCGCAACGGGAGAGGCCGCGAUAGUGAGAGGCCCGCGCACCGCGAUGAAGAGUGGCCCCCGCUCGCCGCAACUAGAGAAAGCCCUCGCACAGAAAAACGAAGACCCAACACAGCCAAAAAAAAAAAAUAAAUAAUUAAUUAAUUAAUUGAAAAGAUAAUAAUAAUAAUUGAGUAAAUGGUGGCUACUUGAUAGGUCCUAAAAAUGUAAAAUAUUAAA